rnacentral:siRNA from 1 species
GGAGGAAACCCACUGGUAUGGUU